rnacentral:rRNA from 1 species
CCUACGGGAGGCAGCAGUCGAGAAUCAUUCACAAUGGGGGAAACCCUGAUGGUGCGACGCCGCGUGGGGGAAUGAAGGUCUUCGGAUUGUAAACCCCUGUCAUGUGGGAGCAAAUUAAAAAGAUAGUACCACAAGAGGAAGAGACGGCUAACUCUGUGCCAGCAGCCGCGGUAAUACAGAGGUCUCAAGCGUUGUUCGGAAUCACUGGGCGUAAAGGGUGCGUAGGCUGUUUCGUAAGUCGUGUGUGAAAGGCGCGGGCUCAACCCGCGGACGGCACAUGAUACUGCGAGACUAGAGUAAUGUAGGGGGAACCGGAAUUCUCGGUGUAGCAGUGAAAUGCGUAGAUAUCGAGAGGAACACUCGUGGCGAAGGCGGGUUCCUGGACAUUAACUGACGCUGAGGCACGAAGGCCAGGGGAGCGAAAGGGAUUAGAUACCCCAGUAGUC